rnacentral:misc_RNA from 1 species
CCCUUUUGGUGAUGAAAUGUGUAUAUCAAAAAUCUGGCAAAACAAAUACAGCUAAGGGAAACUCAAGCAUUACUUCCAGAAUCUAUCUUCUAUAUAAUUUUUCCCCUAACAAAUGUCGUAAACUUGUACACCUGAUCGUUCCAUCAUCUAAACUCAAAUCGGAAUGUUAUCUAUAACUAAAACUUCUAUCAUUCAACUUUUGCCACUACUACGCCAGGGAUGCUGGUCUCAGCAACAGUCUCCCUUACAAACUUUUCCAACUUAUCUCGAGAUGACUGCAAAGUGUAGACAGCCAGGAUGAAGGAAAGCACUACUCCUGAUCCAAAGAGAACAUAAAAUCCCGACGCCACAUCUAUCUCCGACUGCUCUUCCCAUGUAUAUCUAGCAAGCACGUGCUUUGGCCAGUGUUGAGGAUCCCAAAAGUGUUCGCCUAUAUCAGGAUGAAGUUCAAUAUAGUGAUGAGGCAUAUCAAUGACCUUAGCAGUAACACCAAGCAAAUCACCUCCAGAAUACCUCAAAUGCACAUCAAUCAUUGGAACCUCAGAACUCUUCCGAUUAAUCACAAACAACCAUGGCACGUGAUAUUUUUCUCUUCCAACUUGGAAUGAUAUCUUGUAAGGAUCAGCUCCAGUAAAACCAGUUGGUUUUGGAAUCGGUAUCAACACCUCCCGAUUAACCCCGAAAAUGGGACAAUGUUUUCCAAUCAUAUCAUGCCAAACAGUCCUCGAAGAGUGGUAUUGACCCAUUUUGCUCAUUGGAACGAUGUCACCGGGGCGGUAAGCAACACAAGUGGAAACCAUUGAACUCAGCAGCAAUACAACAAUGAGGGAGUCAACACCAUGGCCAAUCCCCAUGUUGUAACUACAACAAGAUAUAUGGACUCUUCCCUGGACGGAUCUGAGGAGAUCCGUUUGGUACGAAAUCACA